rnacentral:rRNA from 1 species
UACGAAGGGGCUAGCGUUGCUCGGAAUGACUGGGCGUAAAGGGCGCGUAGGCGGCGGACACAGUCAGAUGUGAAAUUCCCGGGCUCAACCUGGGGGCUGCAUUUGAUACGUGUUUGCUUGAGUGGGGAAGAGGGUCGUGGAAUUCCCAGUGUAGAGGUGAAAUUCGUAGAUAUUGGGAAGAACACCGGUGGCGAAGGCGGCGACCUGGUCCUUGACUGACGCUGAGCGCGAAGCGUGGGGAGCAAACAGG